rnacentral:rRNA from 1 species
GACGAACGCUGGCGGCGUGCCUAAUACAUGCAAGUAGAACGCUGAAGAGAGGAGCUUGCUCUUCUUGGAUGAGUUGCGAACGGGUGAGUAACGCGUAGGUAACCUGCCUGGUAGCGGGGGAUAACUAUUGGAAACGAUAGCUAAUACCGCAUGAAAUUGCUUAUCGCAUGAUAAUUGAUUGAAAGAUGCAAUUGCAUCACUACCAGAUGGACCUGCGUUGUAUUAGCUAGUUGGUGAGGUAACGGCUCACCAAGGCGACGAUACAUAGCCGACCUGAGAGGGGGAUCGGCCACACUGGGACUGAGACACGGCCCAGACUCCUACGGGAGGCAGCAGUAGGGAAUCUUCGGCAAUAGGGGGAACCCUGACCGAGCAACGCCGCGGGAGUGAAGAAGGUUGUCGGAUCGUAAAGCUCUGUUGUAAGAGAAGAACGGGUGUGAGAGUGGAAAGUUCACACUGUGACGGUAUCUUACCAGAAAGGGACGGCUAACUACGUG